UCACUUAUGCCUGAAUUCAUUGUGAACCGCCAUUUAUUUCAGUACUUUACAUGUACUUGGCAAAUAUUACUCCAUGCAGUGACCAAGGCAAUGACAUAAUGUGUGAGUAUUUUGCACUUGUAUGCAAAAUUGACAUACUUGUUCAUAUUAAUGAACCCCAUGUGACUUUGCAACAGCCAACCACGGUAAGGAGAAGACAAAAGCUGUGCUGAAAUCAACUGUUGUCAUUACAGAACCUUUGUUAAUUAAAGUUGAUAAUUCUAUGUGCAAGUGACAAUAUAUUGUAAUCAAGAACUCGGAAGAUAUUUUGGUUGCUGAUGCUAAUUGUUCAAAAGUGCUGAGCACUGUACCACCCGAUAUAUUGCAGCUGCAGACUUGUGUAAUUAUUUGAUAAUUGAUGUCUACUAAUUUGUAUUAUUAUCUUGAAUUUUAUUUACUGGAUUAAUGAAUUUUGUAUCAAUUUUCAAGUCGAAACUUCAAUCUCUUAACAUAGAUGACAUCAUCAGGGGGGCCCACUUCAUGUAAAUAUCUGCUCAGUUACCUCGCGCCUGCAUAUUACAUCCCUGCUGAGGAGAUUAUGCAGUAUUCCACCAGAACCUGAAUUGUGUAUAUUCUCACUAAAGGACCAGUUUCGCUGUGUAUCUGAAACUAAUUUUUAAGUUAUGAGCAGAGGCGUCAUGGCGCAAGCGUGGCCACUCAUCCAAUGGGAAAAAUCCCAAAAUGACUGCAGAAACAUUCCAAGAUUUCCCAAGAUAUCAGCUUUUUGUAUCAAAUAGCGGUGCAGACCCUAUUUUUAUGUGCAUUGUGCUCAGAAAGUGCAUCAAUUUACGCUCAGCGAAAUGUUCCCAAGUUCUGGCCUAAACUCCCAAGAUCUUUUGAGAAAUCCCAAGGAUCGAGUUGCCACGCUGCAUGGAGCUGCUAAGCUGUUAAUUGAGUAAGCACAAAGAAAUGUGCUUAGCAAAAACAGAUCACCAGCCAAAAUGACAGGGGAAGUUGAUUGCAUGUGACUGGCCCCCUGCGAAAAUAUGCUUAGCAACCACUUCUGCAUAGCAGCUCCGUGAAAUGGGUCCAGGGUUUUGUUGAUGACUUACGAUUCAUAAAUACCUGGGAUGAGACAGGUGGUUCUAAACCGCCGGUAACUGACACCGCUGUGUUCUGCGCCACCCGCGCAGAACGCGCCGCGCGCGCACGCCAAUUUCCUUAUAAGGAGAUUUUUAGCACUACGUACGCACCCGAGGCACAUACCAUAGACAUGGCCAGAGGGGUGUUUCACAAAACAUGAAGUAAAACUGUUGAACAAAAUCGUUGAAAAUUUGUGAAUAUUUGACUUGUUUUGAUUUUUGUACGGAAAGGUAUUGAUGAAUGGUAAUAAAUAUUUGGUUUGCGUGGAUUAAACAAGUGCGUGGAUUAAACAAGUACGUUUAAAACCAGCUUGGUACGGGGCCUGGACGUGGAUAAUGACCCUCGCCUUCUCGGCGCGGGUCAUUAUCCACGUCCAGGCCCCUAGCCAGUUUUAAACGUACUUAUUUAAUCCACGCAAACCACAUAUUAAUUUUAUUCCUUUAAGACAAAUUGUGAAAUUUAUAUAAAUGUUAAGCUGAAAAAAAUGUUAAGUAUAUAGGCAAAUAUUUCGCUUAAAAUCUGAGGGGUUUUUUUUAAGGGUAGGGUCCUUAUAGAUUUUCUUGGGUUAAAAGGCACUCAUUCCCUCCAAAGCAAUUCAUCAUUCCAAACAUUAAUGGUUUGCUGCUUACCAACAAUCCAAAAGAUAUUGUUCUGGGCUCGUUUUGUUUUCUUUUCUUUUAUUCAUAAUCGAAUCAACGCAUAUCAUUAUUUCUCGGCUGUUUAAAAAUCUGUUACACAAUCUUUUCAAGAUGUGUUGAAGUUUUUGUUAUGGUAUGUUAACUUGUGUGUCCUUGCUAAGCACAUUUAUUCAGAGGGUGGACUGAAGACGUGAGAUAUUUUAUUAAACUACCAAAAAAAAUGUUUGUGCUUGGUCAAUUUUGUCCGAGUAGCUUUUGUGUUUGAUUUCAUCCUCUGGGUUUACUGCUUAUGAAAGUGAUAUUCGUUUCACGUACAGCAUUUAAGGCAAUAAUUGAUGUCACAGUGUAUGUAAUAGGUGGGCGUGGACAUCCGGGGAAUUUUUUUUCACAUUGGCUUAUCUAGCUCCCAGACCUAUGUUCUUGAAAGUAAAUGGUUCUUGAGUCUGGAGUGCUGAACGGUAACACGUAGCAACCAGUGAAAACUGGUGUGAUUAAUGUUUUCAUGGGAUGAUGUCACUCCGCCCCGAUCUAUACAGUGCAAGUUUUGCAAAAUUUUAGUUGAGUUUUGGCCAAUGUCCUUCAGUUAACUUUGUUUUUGUUGCACAGUUUUUGUAAUUGCAUUUUUUUUUUAAACGUAGUAUUAAAUGCAUCGUCAUUUUGUUGAAUAUAAGACAAUUAAACUGAUCAUUUGUUGCUUUCCACUGUAUGUGGUUGUAUUCGGUUAAUGAUAUAGUUUGUUUGUGAAUUCAGGAAAACGUGCACUAUCAAAUGGAUCAACUUCAAAAUUAAAUGUAUCCUUUGACACACAUUGAUAUAUACUAAACCCAAGUUAAAAGAGUUGCUGAAGAAAUAAAUAUGCCAGAACAAAAAAUCUA
rnacentral:lncRNA from 1 species